AAUUAAUUGUUCGAAUAAUUUGCCUGCACAGGACGUCAAUGUUAUAGGUCUAUAGGAGUCGAAAUUUGUAGGAUCUUUACCGGGUUUAAUUACUGGAAUCAAACAAUCCAUUUUCCAUUCUGGUGGGAUAAUACAGUCCUUCCAUAAAUCGUUAAAAAUUUGUAAGAGUUUAGUAAGGUUUAUUUUAUUCAGCAAUCGAAACAUAUUGUAUGUUAAGCGAUCAAGGCCACUAGCUGUAUCUUUUCUAGAUUUUACUGCACUGGAUAUUUCAUCAAUUGAGAAUGGGUCAGUGAGAAAUUUUGGGCAUGAAUUAACAGAAUUAAACUGUUUGUCAUCAAAAGGUGAGUGUACAAAAUCAGGAGUAUAUUUGCGUAAAAAAUCAUUGACCCAUGAUAUAUCUUUAAAAUGAUUUUGACGAUGUUUUGAAUUUAGUUUUCUCAUAUUUUGCCAAACAGUGGAAAUUGGUGUUAAUCUAUUAAAUUUGGAACAAAAUUCCUGCCACCCCUGUUGUCUUACUUGCUUAAUUACUAACUUUUUAACAGCUUGAACUCUUUUAAAAUUUAUGUAAUUAUCGAGAGUUGGAUUUUGUUUAAACCUAAGGUAAGCCGCUUUACUAUCAUUGACAGCUGUCGCACACCUGUUAUUCCACCAAGGUACUGCAAUAUGUUUGUGCCUCUUUGAAGUAUUUGCACCGCUAUUUGAUAAGUUCCUACGUGGAACGGUACGUUCCACAGCUGUCAAAAUAAUUUUACAGAAUCUAUUGUAAUUGUUUAAGGGUUCAUUGACAUCAUACUCGAAAUCCAAAAGUAAUUGAUUAACAGUUUCAGAAUAAAGAUCCCAAUUAACGAGACAUGCUGCAACGCUCAGAAUUCUUACAGAAUUUAGCUAAAUGUCCAUACCUCAAGCACCGGUAGCAUUGUUUAACUGGUGGUAUAUAUGAAGUGACAUUGUGGCGCCAACCUCCAAUAUCCAGAUAUUCAGAUUCUGAGUCAGUAGAAGUAUCUUCCGAAUAUAUAUCCUUGUCAUUACAAGGUUCAUGGUCUACAUCACCUGAAUCGUCAUCUUUUUUUUCCUUUUUCUACAACUGCGCUUCCCCAUGAAUGCUAAUUAUAUUACUGUCGCUGAAUUUAGUGAAAAUAUAAUAUUUUAUUCAAUAAUAAGAAUUGAUAGAGAUAGUUUUAAUAAAUUAAUAAAAAAAAUUUAAAAAA